UACGUAGGGUGCAAGCGUUGUCCGGAAUUAUUGGGCGUAAAGAGCUCGUAGGCGGUUUGUCGCGUCUGCUGUGAAAUCCCGGGGCUUAACCCCGGGCUUGCAGUGGAUACGGGCAGGCUGGAGGCAGGCAGGGGAGAACGGAAUUCCCGGUGUAGCGGUGAAAUGCGCAGAUAUCGGGAGGAACACCGGUGGCGAAGGCGGUUCUCUGGGCCUGUACUGACGCUGAGGAGCGAAAGCGUGGGGAGCGAACAGG
rnacentral:rRNA from 1 species